AGUGCCCAGUGCCUACAGGCCAUGACACUCAACGUAAAAACCACUUCACAGAAACAAGAUAUAAACUCAGCGAUCUUAUGUUCGAUCGCAAAUUCAGUUCAACACUAGUGCGGAGCAGUUAACUUUUGUAUUAAUAAUAUUUACUGGAAAAAUGUUUAUUAAGCUAUUGUUAGUCUCGUGUUUGGCGACCUUGAGUUGGGGUCAACAGUAUGAUGUGUACGGUCAGAGGCGGAACACUGGUGGCUACGGACUAUUGAGACCCGGAAAUACUGGCUAUACUGGUUAUAAUUCGGGCUUCGGGGGAUAUAAUUCAGGAACACCGGGAUACAAUACGGGGUACAACGGGUACAGCACGGGUUCUCCGGGAUACAAUGGUUUUAGUGGAUAUAGCGGGAACAGUUAUAAUGGUUAUUCUGGAUACAAUGGGUAUUCCAGUUUAGGUGGAUAUCCGGGAUAUGGAAAUGGUUACCAAGGACAAGGCUAUGGAGGCAACUACGGAGGGUAUAAUGCGGGUGCUGGCGGAUACAACAAUGGAUACAAUACUGGAUUCGGAGGUUACCGUCCUAACAGACCCGGUUACAAUAAUAUUGGAUACCAAGACUACAACCGCCCAGGAUAUAGCCAGGGCAACCAAUAUUCGGGAUAUAAGCCGAGUUACAGUGGGAACUACUUUAGUGGUUACGGCGACGGUUACGAUAACGUAAGGCUUUCAAGGAAAGUCGAAGAGAAGAAAGACAAUUAAAUUUUAAGCGACGAAAGCAUGUCAUCUAUAUGCUUACAGCAAGUUUUAAUAUAGACUAAAAAAUCUCACAUCUUUAAGUACAGAACCAGCCGGAAACAGCAUUUAGAAGAGUGACAAGUGAAAUAGUCAUAAUAUAAAUUAUACAAUACUAGCUUACCCGACAGACGCUGUUCUGUACAUAACAAAUAAAAUAAUGUUUUUUUUAUGAAUUUGUCUGCUGUCGUAAUGAAAUUGUUUCACAGAAGAACUGUCAAACCGUGCGUCAAUAAAUUCUCUCAUAGAAAUUAUGUAUGGACACAUCAAAGGAAAAACAAAUUUGUUGUUAAUUCCGAGCAAUUUCCUAUUUAUUCACCUUUUGAACCUUCUCUGGACUUUCACAAAUAAUUCAAGACCAAAAUUUGCCAAAUCGGUCCAGCCGUUCUCGAGUUUUAGCGAGACUAACGAACAGCAAUUCAUUUUUAUACAUAUAGAUUUUUAAUAUUAUAUUUCUGAACUCUUUUGUUGGAACUUGGCACUUUUUAGCGUGUCCUUCAAUGUCACAAAUGAUAAAAGUAUCUAUUUAUAAACGUAUUCAUAGGCUUACAAUAACGAGCCCACGUAUCGUCAUGUCACAGUCUUUAAAGAAAAAUAACUUAUACAAAAAGUGAAACUUUUUUUUCACAUUAUAGACAUUUAACUAAAAAUUUUUGGAAUAAUAUUCCAUUAACGGUAUAAAAAUCGCUUUAUCAAUCUUAAUUUUAUACUUGGCAAUCUGGAAUGAUAAUAGGAAAUAAUAAAAACAAACAAAACAGGGUGGAGCACUGGCACAAAUGAGAGAGAGUCUAUACACUACACGGUCAGCUGCUGCGAACUUUAGGCGCCGCCCGACCGUCACGCGACAUGCAACACACAGACGAAAAAGUUUGAGACCAUGUAAUAAAAGUUUCACUUUAAAAACUGACCUAAACGACAGUGUUUUAAUUAUUUUUGUUUGAAUAAUUUUGGCUGCUCUUGCUAUGGUGUUAUGUCGAAAUACUUAUUUUAGGAUUACGAUAGCCCUGGUACCUAAUUUCAAAUGGUGCGUUGGCUUUCAAUGUGUUUGCCGCAACAAGCCCCGCUAUACACUACAGUUUCAUCAUUCAUGGGUCGAUUUAUGUGCGGCGCUACUCCAUUCGACUUUUUGGGAUUGGAGCGGUCGUAAAUACCCAGUUUUAGUCACUCAAUGAUAUACGAUAACAAUAAAACUAUACUUACUUAGUAUGUACUUAAGGUUGUCGAGUAUAUUAACUGAAAAAAUAUUCAAAUUGUUUAAAAUAUUACAGUUGACACGCUUUUAUGUAAUUACUUAAUAUUUACCUAGAGUAAUGUAAUGUACUGUGUAGGCAAUUUAAAGUAAUUGUCAAUUUUUGUGUACAUAAUAUGUUAAGUAAAUUAUUUUAUUGAA